GGUGGCUGUAGCUCAGCAGGCAGAGCUCAGGAUUGUGGAUCCUGCGGCCAUGGGUUCGAGUCCCAUCAGCCACC
rnacentral:tRNA from 1 species